CAGUUUACUGCAACCUGUUUCUGUUAAAAUUUCGUUUGGAAAUAGAGAGAUUCUUAUUGAGACAGGUCAUAUAGGGAGGCAAGCUAGUGGUUCUGUGAUGGCAACUGAUGGAGAAACAAUUGUAUACACAUCUGUUUGUUUGUCAGAUGUUCCAAGCGAGCCUUCUGAUUUUUUUUCCUCUUAGUGUUACUUAUCAAGAACGUUUUUCGGCCGCAAGUCGGACUAGGUGUG